GUGCUCGCUUCGGCAGCACAUAUACAAAAAUUGGAAAGAUACAGAGAAGAUUAGCAUGGCCCCUGCGCAAUGCAACAAUAGCUUUAGGCUGGAAAGAAAAGAAAAAAUG